CCUACGGGAGGCAGCAGUGGGGAAUAUUGGGCAAUGGGCGCAAGCCUGACCCAGCAACGCCGCGUGAAGGAAGAAGGCUUUCGGGUUGUAAACUUCUUUUAAGAGGGAAGAGCAGAAGACGGUACUACUUGAAUAAAACACGGCUAACUACGUGCCAGCAGCCGCGGCAAUCCGUCGGUGGCAAGCGUUGACCGGAUUUACUGGGUGUCAAGGACGUGCAGGCGGGAAGAUAAGUCAGUUGUGAAAUCCCGCGGCUCAACACCGGAACUGCCUUUGAAACUGUUUGUCUUGAGUGCCGGAGAGGUCAGCGGAAUUCCUGGUGUAGCGGUGAAAUGCAUAGAUAUAAGGAAGAACACCAGUGGCGAAGGCAGAUGACUGGACCGCAACUGACGGUGAGGCACGAAAGCGUGGGGAGCAAACAGGAUUAGAUACCCCAGUAGUC
rnacentral:rRNA from 1 species